CCUACGGGAGGCAGCAGUGAGGAAUAUUGGUCAAUGGACGAGAGUCUGAACCAGCCAAGUAGCGUGAAGGAUGACUGCCCUAUUGGUUGUAAACUUCUUUUAUAUGGGAAUAAAAUGUUCCACGUGUGGGAUUUUGUAUGUACCAUAUGAAUAAGGAUCGGCUAACUCCGUGCCAGCAGCCGCGGUAAUACGGAGGAUCCGAGCGUUAUCCGGAUUUCUUGGGUUUAAGGGGAGCGUAGGUGGAUUGUUAAGUCAGUUGUGAAAGUUUGCGGCUCAACCGUAAAAUUGCAGUUGAAACUGGCAGUCUUGAGUACAGUAGAGGUGGGCGGAAUUCGUGGUGUAGCGGUGAAAUGCUUAGAUAUCACGAAGAACUCCGAUUGCGAAGGCAGCUCACUGGACUGCAACUGACACUGAGGCUCGAAAGUGUGGGUAUCAAACAGGAUUAGAUACCCCGGUAGUC
rnacentral:rRNA from 1 species